UACGUAGGGGGCAAGCGUUGUCCGGAUUUAUUGGGCGUAAAGAGCGUGUAGGCGGUUAGGUAGGUCCGUUGUGAAAACUCGAGGCUCAACCUCGAGACGCCGAUGGAAACCCCCUAACUAGAGUCCGGAAGAGGAGAGUGGAAUUCCUGGUGUAGCGGUGGAAUGCGUAGAGAUCGGGAAGAACAUCAGUGGCGAAGGCGGCCUGCUGGGCUGUUGCUGACGCUGAGGCGCGACAGCGUGGGGAGCAAACAGG
rnacentral:rRNA from 1 species